UUUCCUUAUGCAACCUUUCUGUUCAUUUUCCAGGCAGCCACCAAUGUCAAGAUGUUCAUAAAUAGCAUCAACUAUAAUUCCUGUCAGCAUUUAUAUGUUAUUGUUAGGCAACAGAUGGGUGUGUACCUAUUUGGUAGCUUGUUUCUGGUUUGGAA